rnacentral:rRNA from 1 species
CGGCCUCAGAUAGGUAGGACUACCCGCUGAACUUAA